rnacentral:lncRNA from 1 species
AUGGAUUUGAGGGUCUCCAUCUCCUCACUUGGUGCCCCGCGAUCAUUAAACUCUUUCUCCCUGUCAACGCUGCUGUCUCAGUUACUGGGUCUGUUAGCGCACAGUGGGCAUACAAACCUGUUGUUCCUACAACACUUCCUACCCGUCACUCAUGCUUCUGAGCUGUGCUGGCCACCAGGCAGCCAUGUGGGAGCUGUGGGCAGACUGGAGAGGACCUUGGACAGGGCCCAGCACAGGGGCCCUGGAAUGUGGACUGUCUCAGUGGAUUCUUGUUUAUAGGAAUUAGAGGAAGGUGGAAGAAGCUCGUUCCAGGAUCCAGAUGGCCUGGGUGACAGAUGACAUCUUGGGACUGAAAUGAACAAAUAAUAAACCUAUGCAUGGAACUCUUACAAGAAAACAUCAGGCAAAAGCUUACCAACAUCGAAUUUGGCAAUGAUUUCUUAGAUAUGACACCAAAGGCACAGACAACAGACUUCAUAAAAAAGAAAAACUAGACUUCAUAAAAGUUAAAAAAAUUUUGUUAAUCCUAAGACACUAUCAACAGAGUAAAAAGGCAACCCACAGUAUGGAGGAAAAUAUUUGCAAAUUAUAUAUCUGAUAAAGGAUUAAUAUUUAGAAUAUAUAGAGAACUUCUAAAACUCAACAACUAAAAGACAAACAACCUGAUUCAAAAAUGGACAAAGGUUUUGAAAAGACAUUUCUCCAUUUAAAAAGACAAAUGGCCAAUAAGCACAUGGAAAAAUGUGCAUUAGAAAAAUGCCAAUCAAAACUAUAAUGAGAUAUUACCUCAUAUCCAUUAAGAAGACUGCUAUUAAAAAAACAAAACAAAAAAACAAAACAAAAAAACCCCAGAAAAUUGGCUGGGCAUGGUGGCUUAUGCCUAUAAUCCCAGCACUUUGGGAGGCUGAGGGAGAUGGAUCACCUGAGGUCAGGAGUUUGAGACCAGCCUGGCCAACAUGGUGAAACCUUGUCUCUACUAAAAACACAAAAAUUAGCCAGGCGUGGUGGUGCACACCUGUAUCCACAACUACUUGGGAGGCUGAGGCAGGAGAAUGGCUUGGACCCAGGAGGUGGAAGUUGCAUGAGCUGAGAUCGUGCCACUGUACUCUAACCUGGGUGACAAGAGCGAAACUCUGUCUCAAAACAAACAAACAAACAACAACAACAAAAACCCAAAACCAGAAAAUAGGUAUUGAUGAGGAUGUAGAGAAAUUGGAACACGUAUGCACUAUUGGUGGGAAUGUAAAAUGCUAUAGUCUCUA